rnacentral:rRNA from 1 species
UGCAGUCGAGCGGUAGAGAGAAGCUUGCUUCUCUUGAGAGCGGCGGACGGGUGAGUAAUGCCUAGGAAUCUGCCUGGUAGUGGGGGAUAACGUUCGGAAACGGACGCUAAUACCGCAUACGUCCUACGGGAGAAAGCAGGGGACCUUCGGGCCUUGCGCUAUCAGAUGAGCCUAGGUCGGAUUAGCUAGUUGGUGAGGUAAUGGCUCACCAAGGCGACGAUCCGUAACUGGUCUGAGAGGAUGAUCAGUCACACUGGAACUGAGACACGGUCCAGACUCCUACGGGAGGCAGCAGUGGGGAAUAUUGGACAAUGGGCGAAAGCCUGAUCCAGCCAUGCCGCGUGUGUGAAGAAGGUCUUCGGAUUGUAAAGCACUUUAAGUUGGGAGGAAGGGCAGUUGCCUAAUACGUAACUGUUUUGACGUUACCGACAGAAUAAGCACCGGCUAACUCUGUGCCAGCGGCCGCGGUAAUACAGAGGGUGCAAGCGUUAAUCGGAAUUACUGGGCGUAAAGCGCGCGUAGGUGGUUUGUUAAGUUGGAUGUGAAAUCCCCGGGCUCAACCUGGGAACUGCAUUCAAAACUGACUGACUAGAGUAUGGUAGAGGGUGGUGGAAUUUCCUGUGUAGCGGUGAAAUGCGUAGAUAUAGGAAGGAACACCAGUGGCGAAGGCGACCACCUGGACUAAUACUGACACUGAGGUGCG